rfam:Clonorchis sinensis DNA, scaffold: 226, strain: Henan.
UUCUACCUGAUGAGCCCCAAAAAGGGCGAAACCGGUCGUGAGCUGUCGAAGAA